rnacentral:rRNA from 1 species
GAUGAACGCUGGCGGCGUGCCUAAUACAUGCAAGUCGAACGCAUAGCGAAAGGUGCUUGCACCUUUCAAGUGAGUGGCGAACGGGUGAGUAACACGUGGACAACCUGCCUCAAGGCUGGGGAUAACAUUUGGAAACAGAUGCUAAUACCGAAUAAAACUUAGUGUCGCAUGACACAAAGUUAAAAGGCGCUUCGGCGUCACCUAGAGAUGGAUCCGCGGUGCAUUAGUUAGUUGGUGGGGUAAAGGCCUACCAAGACAAUGAUGCAUAGCCGAGUUGAGAGACUGAUCGGCCACAUUGGGACUGAGACACGGCCCAAACUCCUACGGGAGGCUGCAGUAGGGAAUCUUCCACAAUGGGCGAAAGCCUGAUGGAGCAACGCCGCGUGUGUGAUGAAGGCUUUCGGGUCGUAAAGCACUGUUGUAUGGGAAGAACAGCCAGAAUAGGAAAUGAUUUUAGUUUGACGGUACCAUACCAGAAAGGGACGGCUAAAUACGUG